UACGUAGGGUGCAAGCGUUGUCCGGAAUUAUUGGGCGUAAAGGGCUCGUAGGCGGUCCGUCACGUCGGGAGUGAAAACUUGGGGCUUAACCCCAAGCCUGCUUCCGAUACGGGCGGACUAGAGGUAGGCAGGGGAGAACGGAAUUCCUGGUGUAGCGGUGAAAUGCGCAGAUAUCAGGAGGAACAUCCGUGGCGAAGGCGGCUCUCUGGGACGGUACUGACGCUGAGACGCGAAAGCGUGGGGAGCGAACAGG
rnacentral:rRNA from 1 species